rnacentral:tRNA from 1 species
GCCGGAGUGGCGGAAUGGUAGACGCAGCGGAUUCAAAAUCCGCCGGGGGCGACCCUGUGGGAGUUCGAGUCUCCCCUCCGGCACCA